ACGCUCGACACCUACGGGAGGUAGCAGUGGGGAAUAUUGCACAAUGGGGGAAACCCUGAUGCAGCGACGCCGCGUGAAGGAAGAAGUAUCUCGGUAUGUAAACUUCUAUCAGCAGGGAAGAAAAUGACGGUACCUGACUAAGAAGCCCCGGCUAACUACGCGCCAACAGCCGCGGUAAUCUGAGCGGGCUGGCAAGGC
rnacentral:rRNA from 1 species